UUACGUAUUCAGAGUAAUGGCUUGCUUGA
rnacentral:piRNA from 1 species